rnacentral:rRNA from 1 species
AACGAACGCUGGCGGCAUGCCUAACACAUGCAAGUCGAACGAGACCUUCGGGUCUAGUGGCGCACGGGUGCGUAACGCGUGGGAACCUGCCCUUAGGUUCGGAAUCACUCCCCGAAAGGGGUGCUAAUACCGGAUAAUGUCUUCGGACCAAAGAUUUAUCGCCUUUGGAUGGGCCCGCGUUGGAUUCGCUAGUUGGUAGGGUAAAAGCCUACCAAGGCGAUGAUCCAUAGCUGGUCUGAGAGGAGGAUCAGCCACACUGGGACUGAGACACGGCCCAGACUCCUACGGGAGGCAGCAGUGGGGAAUAUUGGACAAUGAGCGAAAGCCUGAUCCAGCAAUGCCGCGUGAGUGAUGAAGGCCUUAGGGUUGUAAAGCUCUUUUACCCGGGAUGAUAAGGACAGUACCGGGAGAAUAAGCUCCGGCUAACUCCGU